UUUAAGCUUAUUAUUACAGCUAGUCAGAGGCACGCGCGGCUGCAUGUGGUUGCGUCUGGGCCUGCGGCGGGCGGGCCCGCCGAGGCAACGUGGUAGGGUUCGCGGGGUUGGCAGAGCCUAGGGGGCACUCUGUAAUGAUCCCUCCGCUGGUUCACCAACGGAGA
rnacentral:misc_RNA from 1 species